CCUACGGGGAGCUGCAGUGGGGAAUAUUGGACAAUGGGGGGAACCCUGAUCCAGCCAUGCCGCGUGUGUGAAGAAGGCCCUCGGGUUGUAAAGCACUUUCAGUGAGGAAGAACGCCUGGUGGUUAAUACCCAUCAGGAAAGACAUCACUCACAGAAGAAGCACCGGCUAACUCCGUGCCAGCAGCCGCGGUAAUACGGAGGGUGCGAGCGUUAAUCGGAAUUACUGGGCGUAAAGCGCGCGUAGGUGGCUUGAUAAGCCGGUUGUGAAAGCCCCGGGCUCAACCUGGGAACGGCAUCCGGAACUGUCAAGCUAGAGUGCAGGAGAGGAAGGUAGAAUUCCCGGUGUAGCGGUGAAAUGCGUAGAGAUCGGGAGGAAUACCAGUGGCGAAGGCGGCCUUCUGGACUGACACUGACACUGAGGUGCGAAAGCGUGGGUAGCAAACAGGAUUAGAUACCCCUGUAGUC
rnacentral:rRNA from 1 species